CCGAAAUAUCAGGCUCGAGCAGCCUUCCAAAGAGUUAUCGGGAAGGCAAUGCAUAAGAGGGCAUCAGUUGCCCCCUGGAUCAUCAUGAAAGCUUUAUAGCUCUCCAGAUGGUCAAUCGGGUCGGUAGAGCCAUUGUAUGACUCCAUCUGCGGCAUCUUGAACCGAGAAAAAAUCGGUUCAUCCAAGAUGCGUCAGGAAAGAGACUGGGCAGUGUGA
rnacentral:lncRNA from 1 species